rnacentral:rRNA from 1 species
UACGUCGGGGGCUAGCGUUGUCCGGAAUCAUUGGGCGUAAAGAGCGUGUAGGCGGUCCGGUAAGUCCGCUGUGAAAGUCGGGGGCUCAACCCUCGAAUGCCGGUGGAUACUGUCGGGCUAGAGUGCGGAAGAGGCGAGUGGAAUUCCUGGUGUAGCGGUGAAAUGCGCAGAUAUCAGGAGGAACACCUAUUGCGAAGGCAGCUCGCUGGGACGUAACUGACGCUGAGACGCGAAAGCGUGGGGAGCGAACAGG